CCAGAGAUUUCCGAAUGGGGGAACCCAAUAUCUUUUAUAGGAUAUUACUUUUCAGUGAAUACAUAGCUGAUUAGAGGUAGACGCAGAGAACUGAAACAUCUUAGUACCUGCAGGAAGAGAAAGAAAAAUCGAUUCCCUGAGUAGCGGCGAGCGAAACGGGAAGAGCCCAAACCAACAAGCUUGCUUGUUGGGGUUGUAGGACUCCAAUAUGGUAGUCUGUUAGUAUAGUUGAAGGAUUUGGAAAAUUCCGCUAAA
rnacentral:rRNA from 1 species